rnacentral:hammerhead_ribozyme from 1 species
AUCCAGCUGACGAGUCCCAAUUAGGACGAAACGCAAGUUGUGAAU